CGACUUUCUCUUUCGUUUUGACGUUUUGAAAUUGAGGCGUUGUUUUAUUCACAACAAUAAAACCUGACGCUCAAGCUGCAAAGACAUUACUUUAUCCACCUGCUCACCUGUGCUGCUGAUCUUCAGGUUUUAAAACUGAGUCGAUGUGACUUUUAAUGGAUAGAAUAAAGCCUGAGGCUCAAGGUGUGAAGACGUUCUUUAUCCAUCUGCUCACCUGUGCUGCUGAUCUUCAGUCCAUCAUGAACAGAGUUCAAACAGUGACGAAUCAGAGAGACGCAGACCUGCAGUCAGACGAGGAGGACGUCGACAUCCUGGAGAUGCUUUCUUUCAGACUGUUCAUGCGUGGAUUACUCCACUUCGCACUGAUGAGACCAUUGAUGAAGAGUCUCAGUCAGAUGUUGGUGAAGGUCGCAGAAUUAAGGUGCAAAAAUCCAACAGUCCUGAAGUGGCUCAGAGAAUAUUCACAGUCUGAAGACUUCUCCGAUCUUGCAGAGAUCUUUCAUUUCCUGAAAGGAAAGAUCGAAGAAGAGGAGAAAAAGGACCACGACAACACAGUGGACAUUAUAUUUGUGGCUCAUGGAGCCAUCAAAGAUGUGAUGAUUCCAGCCUGUUUUCUGCUGCCGUUGCCCUCCAUCACAGACGUGGUCCUCUACUCUCCCUGGAACUGCGCCACCGAUGCCAAUGUAUCGUACGCCCUGGCCACAGGAAGACUCAGACCCCACCACAGAGUUUUUGUCUCUAAGACAGACAGCAGCUGUAAAACUCCUGCUCCUGUCAAACUCCCCAACCACUGGAACUCCAUGAAGGCAGCAGGAGAACAGAAGAUCCCCAACAUCACCGUCAGGUCCCUGUUACCCAUUGAGGGAGUGUGGCUAAAAUACCAAAUUCUGCAGGCAAAACACGGAAAACCAGGAAGAAACCGCAUCGUGAUUCCCUUCAUGUUCCCAGAAGUGAAAGUUGGCAGCGUCCCGUUCUCUGUGGUCAGCCUCGCUCUGUCUCUGGUGCUGGACUCCUCCAGAUUCACAGCCACCGUCCACCUGGACACCUGCUUGUGUGAUCAGUCCGAGGGUCAGAAGUUCGAUCCAGAGUACCUGAGGAGUCAGUACGCCUACACUGACGACUGGCACCUCCAUGACGGUUUCAGACGUACAUGCUCACUGGAUCUCUAAUGGACCGUGUGAGACUCAAAUUUCUGACUAUGUUUAAUGCUUAAAGGUGCAAUAAGUAAUAUUGUUAUGAUUGGCUCUAGAAUUCCGAAGAGUUCUGUCCUGGAGCCCUCAUUUUGACAGAAAAACACUUUACCAACAUUUAUUGAUGGAGACGACAGAUUGGGAAUGUUUCUUCAAUGACAGGUGAAAAACUGGAAAGAGUUGUAUUAAUUUUAUUGUACAUUUCUUACUUUUUGUACCUUUUACAUCCCCAGGCUGUUUGUCCAUCAGUGUGUCUCCAGGCUGGACUGUAACAGAAGUUAUUUCUGGUUUAGACAAUUGACGAGAACUCAGAGAACACCAGAGGGAGGAGACUAUUACAGGUACAAAUCUUUCCACUCAGAACCAACAACACACUAACCAAAACAUAAAACAUGUAAAUGCAGCACAUCAUCAUUAUGAAAUGCAUGAAACUCCUGAGAACAAUCUUGAAUGUUUUGUUUUUUUUUUUUUUUUUUUUGUAGCUGCA